GGAAUAAACACCAAGACACAUUUUUUUACUGCCUUUUUCACUUGACACUUUAAAUAACACUAAGGGAAACAUGAGAUCAAUUGUAAAGAAAUGUGGCCCAGGUUGAAUAGCCAAUUAAGAAAAUAUUCAUGUGACCCAUUUUAGGAAAACCUGAUACUUGAAUAUCCUUCCAUCUAGAAAAACUAAUAGUUUAGGAGUAAUUUUUAAUACAGCAUAUCUUCUUAAAAGCAAUUCAAUAGAGGGUUUAAAAGAUGAGCCACGAAAAUGAACUGAAACAAAUGAAAUGUUGGUUCCAAGAAAUCUCCAAUUUUCAAAUUUCAUGUUUAUCAACUAGGAUGCCUUCACUGCAAGCAAAGAGGACUUUUCACACAGGCACAAACAGUAAGACAACGUAUUACAUUUGUUAAGAGGACGUUUAGGGUGCUGUGGGGUUCUGGGCUGUGAUUCAGCCGCUGGCGAUGCUGGCAGGAAAGGUCCUCCCUCCCUCUGCUUGGCCAUCCUCAGUGGCUACAUCUGCUCCCCUUGUAGUUGUGAGAUGGCUUCAGGAGUUCUGGGUCUCAAACCCAGACAUUUGACAUCCAGGGAACAGGACAGAAACAGACCAUCUCUUCACAGGAUUCCUUAAGAAUGAGGGAAGCUUUUCCAGAGGGUUCUGCAGCCAUCUGUUUUUGACAUGUUGGUCAGCACUAGGUCAGAUCCCACCCCCAGCCCAUUGCCAGGACUUUGUGACUACAAGAUCUGCACAGCCUGGACCAGCCACGGGAAGGGGUGGAGUUGUGAGUUGUGGCCUCUGGGUCACCUAGGAAAUGAGUGGAUACCUGAACAAAACCAAAGUUUGAUCAGGAAUCUAUUCUAGUUACAUUGUUCUAGAUUAGCAGUUUCUGAAGACAUAUGAAUUCAGUUCUGGCUUGAAUUGAUUGGCUAAGAAUUUAAAACACUUUUAAAUUCAGAUGAGAGUGUCAAGGUCAGAUGAAUUUAGGGGCUAGCAAUUAGGGCAAUUUUUUCCAGAUGUUACUUCAGUUUUAGUCUGCUGUUUCAAAUAUACGGUAAUUUACUUUGUAGACAUGCUGAACACACAACUUUUGAGCAUCAAUGUAUCGUGAAAAUAAGGAUUACUUAUGCUUGCUUUGGAUAGUAUUCUGACAGAAAAAUAUAGAUGUACUCCAAUGGUAGUACUGAGAGGUGCUUUGGAAGUCGAAUUUCUGUUGCUUCUUAUAAAGUAUUAAAAUGUCAUUUUAAAUAUGCCAUUCUUUAUAUCUGAUAUUAAAAUUUCCAUAAAGACAUGAUAAUUAAAUUUUAUAGGUAACUGAAGAAUACAAUUAAUGCAAUUCCAAACAUGUAGUAAUUAGUUUGAUUGACAUCAAAUAUGGAAAAAAGAAAAGUUGAACUUCUUGUGUCUAAACGUAUUUUGGGAAUAAUCCCCAUAAAAAAAUUCAACCUUCUCAAAACAGCCUAUUUUAACCUAAUUUGGUGAAUAUAGAUUUGUAUGAUAAUGCUAUGUUGUUUAUCUUGAGGUAUUUGGGGAUGUGACCAGUUUUAGCCAACUCCCAAAUAAAAAUUAAUCCAAAUAGCAUUUCUGGCAGUUUCCGAAAUUGUUAAGCUGAUUUGUCCUGCUGCAGCUUGUCAUGAUGACCAUGAUAACUGAGGCAGGUCAAAUGGCUUCUUUAUAUUCUAU
rnacentral:lncRNA from 1 species